rnacentral:rRNA from 1 species
GACGAACGCUGGCGGCGUGCUUAACACAUGCAAGUCGAACGGAAAGGCCCCUUUGGGGGUCCUCGAGUGGCGCACGGGUGAGUAACACGUGAGUAACCUGCCCUUGACUUCGGGAUAACUUCAGGAAACUGGGGCUAAUACCGGAUAGGAAUCCUUGCUGCAUGGUGGGGGUUGGAAAGCUUCGGCGGUUUUGGAUGGACUCGCGGCUUAUCAGCUUGUUGGUGGGGUAGUGGCUUACCAAGGCUUUGACGGGUAGCCGGCCUGAGAGGGCGACCGGCCACAUUGGGACUGAGAUACGGCCCAGACUCCUACGGGAGGCAGCAGUGGGGAAUAUUGCACAAGGGGCGGAAGCCUGAUGCAGCAACGCCGCGUGCGGGAGGACGGCCUUCGGGUUGUAAACCGCUUUCAGCAGGGGCGAAGCUUGUGGUGACGGUACCUGCAGAAGAAGCACCGGCUAACUACGUG